GGUUGAAGUAUGGGUCUUGACUCGAUUGGCAACAGCUCUUAUUCAGAUUUCUUUAAUAUACUGAUAUUGGAACCAGUAUCUAAAAGUGUAGGCCAUAACGCUGGGUUAACAAGUCUACUAAAAGUUUGUAAUUACAGCGGUCAGUAGUAUCAAGUUCUGUUAACAUGGAACGGGCAUCUCCCUUUAAACUACUGGCAAGGCAUAACCCCUUGGAUCGGUUAUCCCAGUUAUUCAAGUCACUACAUAUUUGAAAUGAGAUAAGGAACUCAUUAAGGUCAUCAUGUCCAUCAAAGGUUGAUCAGUCCGGAAUGCAGGCAGCAAAAGUCACUGGAAAUAAGGCUAUAAUAGAAUCCAAUCAACAAGGGUACUUAUUUGAUUGAAUGGUCAGCCCCUGGACAGAAAAAAAAU